ACGGGUGAGUAACGCGUGAGUAACCUGCCUUCCCUAGGGGGAUAACAUUCUGAAAAGAAUGCUAAUACCGCAUGAUAUAUCGGAAUCACAUGAUUUUGAUAUCAAAGAUUUUAUCGCUUGAAGAUGGACUCGCGUCCGAUUAGUUAGUUGGUGAGGUAACGGCUCACCAAGACUGCGAUCGGUAGCCGGACUGAGAGGUUGAACGGCCACAUUGGGACUGAGACACGGCCCAGACUCCUACGGGAGGCAGCAGUGGGGGAUAUUGCGCAAUGGGGGCAACCCUGACGCAGCAACGCCGCGUGAAGGAUGAAGGUUUUCGGAUUGUAAACUUCUUUUAUUAAGGACGAAGAUUGACGGUACUUAAUGAAUAAGCUCCGGCUAACUACGUGCCAGCAGCCGCGGUAAUACGUAGGGAGCAAGCGUUGUCCGGAUUUACUGGGUGUAAAGGGUGCGUAGGCGGCUUUGCAAGUCAGAUGUGAAAUCUAUGGGCUCAACCCAUAAACUGCAUUUGAAACUGUAGAGCUUGAGUGAAGUAGAGGCAGGCGGAAUUCCCCGUGUAGCGGUGAAAUGCGUAGAGAUGGGGAGGAACACCAGUGGCGAAGGCGGCCUGCUGGGCUUUAACUGACGCUGAGGCACGAAAGCGUGGGUA
rnacentral:rRNA from 1 species